rnacentral:rRNA from 1 species
UACGGGGGGGGCAAGCGUUGUUCGGAAUUACUGGGCGUAAAGGGCGCGUAGGCGGUUUGCUAAGUUGACUGUGAAAACUCUGGGCUUAACCCAGAGCCUGCAUUCAAUACUGGCAGGCUAGAGUUCUGGAGGGGAUAGCGGAAUUCCUGGUGUAGCGGUGAAAUGCGUAGAUAUCUGGAGGAACACCGGUGGCGAAGGCGGCAUCCUGGACCGGUAUUGACGCUGAGGCGCGAAAGCUAGGGGAGCAAACAGG